UGCAAUCUCGAGUGGCGGGAACAACAAAAUUUUGGCACAUUAUUUCCCCCAAAAUUUCACUAAAAUUUCUUUCCCCUGUGAAACCUAACCGAAUAUUGCGAUCUCUGUUCCGCGUCUUUUUUUUUCUUUUUUCCAAGCUUGAAACCCUUCAACAAAACCCAUGAAUAGAACUUCACCACUUCCAUUGGUCACCACCGUAAAUCAAUAAGAGUAACCAAAUCACAAAACAACACCCCUCUGAGUGGUUAAUACCCCGUAAACCAAAACCCAUCUGUUUUUUUUCUUCCAUAUUUUAUCUCAUGAAGUUCUUCAUUUUUUAGAGAUUUUGAAUAUGGAAAAAAGGAAGAUAUGUUGAUGUCUCUUGUCCCCUGUUAUCGUACAUCGAUUUUGGUUUUUAUUCUGGGAAGAAGAAGAAGAAAAUGAUUUGACCGUAAUGGACAUGUUAGGGGUUUAAUUGCAAAUCAACUCAUUUUGGUUUGUUGAUAACUUCAUGUCCUUUAGCUGUUUGUUGAAAUGAUUAACUAGAAUCUGCUUGGUUUAUAAAUAGAUGUGUGGUACCAGGAGAAACAAAAUUCAGCUUUGGUUCCUUGAUGCGUUUAAUUAUGCUAUUGCAAUCAAGAUGGAUCUUCUGAAUUUGAGUAUAAGAGGCCAUUGAUUAAUUGGACUUUGAUUUUGUUGAGAAGUUUGUAAAGAAUGGGAAGCAGAAAGUGGUCAGGGGAUAACUUACAUGGGAAGGGAAAGGAGGUUUGGAUUAACUUAGAAAAUUUUAUGAAGCAACAUCCAAUCAAGAAUUAGAUCUUAUAGUUCUACAAUCUCGAUGAAGCUACAUGUUAGUGAAAAGAUGCGGCCAUUGUCUAUGGGGUGUUGGCAAGAUCUAUUAACUAGGCUUGGUACUUUUAAAUAGAGAUCCAAGACAAUACCAGUGGCGGCUAUUGGUUGCCGAGGAGUUUUCCCAGUUGUCGCAAGCCUCCUAGCAUGGCCUUUAAAGUAUGCUUUGAUGGUUGCCACGAGUUUGUUUGAUUUUCUUUUGUAUCACAGCACUGGUAAGCUUUUAUACCAUCCAACAUUUUGUAUUGCUUUAGGUUGUAAGACAAAAUAUGAAAUACAAAAGAAAAAAAAUAUCGUUGAACGUCGGAAAAGAAAUAAUAUGACCCCAUUCGAAGUCCUGGAUCUGUUACUGCUUGAAACCCCUGAAGGUGUUUGUGGCUCCUGGUUUUGACUUGCUGAGAAAAAAAUCCCCUGCAGUGACGUUUUUUCUCUUUUCAUAUGAACUAAUUCAUCCUCAUGCAUGUUAAUCAACAAAGGAUGCAUAUUAUGAACAAGUUAUAAGUAUUAAAAGUUUAUAACAAAUAAACUCAAUCAUCAAUAUUCAUAUGGAAGUUCCAGAAGCAAAAUCAGCAAUACAUAUGUGUUGGAGCAUAUACGGGUCUGUCCUAACUGUAGAUAAUUCUCGGGCAUUGUAGAUAAGAAGACAAUGAUCAUGUAAUCUUGCUGCUAUUGUCUCUCACGCUGCUAUUCCUUAUGACAAUUGCAUCAAGUUGCCUGCAUUU